rnacentral:rRNA from 1 species
UGGGGAAUUUUGGACAAUGGGCGCAAGCCUGAUCCAGCAAUGCCGCGUGCAGGAUGAAGGCCUUCGGGUUGUAAACCGCUUUUGUCAGGGAAGAAAUCCUUUGAGCUAAUACCUCGGGGGGAUGACGGUACCUGAAGAAUAAGCACCGGCUAACUACGUGCCAGCAGCCGCGGUAAUACGUAGGGUGCGAGCGUUAAUCGGAAUUACUGGGCGUAAAGCGUGCGCAGGCGGUUUUGUAAGACAGAGGUGAAAUCCCCGGGCUCAACCUGGGAAUUGCCUUUGUGACUGCAAGGCUUGAGUGCGGCAGAGGGGGAUGGAAUUCCGCGUGUAGCAGUGAAAUGCGUAGAUAUGCGGAGGAACACCGAUGGCGAAGGCAAUCCCCUGGGCCUGUACUGACGCUCAUGCACGAAAGCGUGGGGAGCAAACA